rnacentral:ribozyme from 1 species
GAAUAUCGAGCAAAUGAUGGAGACGUUGAAAGGAGCGGGGGAUUGCGGGAUUGAUAAUCUUUCUGAGCAAGAUGGAAAGAUUAUUGAGUGAUUUUUCUCUCUCUCGAUUGAGUGAUUUUUAUUGAGUGACAUUUGUUGCAUUUUUUGUCUCUUCAUUUUUUUUUAUUUUAUAUCUCUUAUAAGACCUAAUAAUAAUAUUAAUAAA